rnacentral:lncRNA from 1 species
GAGUGUUUUAUUCAGAUAUGCAUAUGGUUAAUCAUUGCUGAUUGCCAUGUUGAAUUGUACUCUGUAUAUAUUGCAUGUAUAAGUCAGGUAUGAAAGGCUGAUCACCUUCAGUACCAGUUGGUCCGGAUAUAUAUUGUUCAUAUGUAAUACUUGUUCAGUCAAAAUUUUUUGUUCAUGCUAAUUCACAACUACAUUGCGAAUUAUAGCCAGCUUCUUAUUCAUACUCUUUCAAUCAUGAUAAAUCCUUAAAUUGUAUUUAAACUUGCUGGGCAAC